GGGAGAGUUUGAUCCUGGCUCAGGAUGAACGCUGGCGGCGUGCGUAACACAUGCAAGUCGAACGGGGAUUUGAACUUCGGUUUGGAUCCUAGUGGCGAACGGGUGCGUAACACGUAGGAACCUGCCCCAGAGUGGGGGAUAACAGCUCGAAAGGGUUGCUAAUCCCGCAUGAGCUCGCGCAAGCGAGGAAAGGCUUCGGCCGUUCUGGGAUGGGCCUGCGGCCUAUCAGGUAGUUGGUGGGGUAACGGCCUACCAAGCCGACGACGGGUAGGGGGCGUGAGAGCGUGGUCCCCCACACGGGAACUGAGACACGGUCCCGACGCCUACGGGCGGCAGCAGUGAGGAAUCUUGCACAAUGGGGGAAACCCUGAUGCAGCGACGCCGCGUGCGGGAAGAAGGCCUUCGGGUCGUAAACCGCUUUUCUGGGGGAAGAGGAAGGACGGUACCCCAGGAAUAAGUCCCGGCUAACUACGUGCCAGCAGCCGCGGUAA
rnacentral:rRNA from 1 species